AAACCUAACCUAUUUCUUCUUCUUCUUCAGCGAUUCAAUUUCUUCGUCGUCUUGAUCAAACCUAAGCUCUUGAAACCAAUCUCUUCGCCGUCUCGAUCUCCAGAUUCAAUUUCCAGUGACUUGAGCUCAAUUAAAACUCCCUUCAGUUGUUACUUCUGACGAAUUUGAUUCUCUACUCUGAGGUACUUUUCGUUAUUCACUAACUUAAAUUUCUUGAGAAUUUGAGAAUUUUUUUUUGAUAUGUGUUCUCUCAGCUAGUUUAGCUACUCUCUACUUGGUGGGUUUUUUCUAAACUUCAUUUGUUCUCUAUUGGCCAUCGGAGUUAUUUCGAUUUAGAUUUGCAUUGCCCUUAAGUAAAUCAGAAUUUGUUCUCUUCUCAGUUUUUGUUUUAGCUUUGAUUUAGAUGCAAUGGAUUGGUUUCUAAAGAGUUUUUGUACAAUGAGUGUCUUUAGCUUUGAUUUUGAUGCAAUGGAUUGGUUUCUAAAGAGUUAUAUAUUAAAGACUAAAUCAUUCUCAUUGUUGUGUAACAGAGGGAAGUUCUCAUGCUUGAUGCUUUGUUUGCCGGCUUAUACUAGAGCAUAAAGACCCUCCUUUCAAAGAGAAGUCUACUUGCAUUUGUCUCUGUUGCUCUCUUCUUUGGUUAUCCUUCUCUUGCUUUUAAGGUACCCUUUCAUCAAUCUUGUGGACUGGUUUACUUCAUUGUUCAUAAAUAGAUGAAAUGUGUUUGCUUUUAACAUCAAUGAAUCAUUAUUCUGUCCACUUUAAACUAGAGUUAACAAAAUCUUUGUGUUCUCUUUAUUGGUCUAGAAUUGGUUUACUUUAGCAUUUACUUGCAUAUCAUUGAUGUCUCAAAGUCAAUAAAAUCAUUACUUGCAUAUCACUGAUUGCUAAUCAAUGUAUAUGAUUCACGUAUAUGUCUCAAAGUCAAUAAAAUCAUGUCUCAAAGAAUAUGAUUCACGUAUUCUCUUGUAGCAUUUACUUGUUGUAUCUUUAAUAUGAUUCUUCGUUGUUGUUGUUGUUGAAUGAAUUUAGGCAAGAAUUGGAAGGAGCUUAUUGAUGUAUAAGACUCUGUUUUAAACACUUACUUAUCUUUGUUAAGGCUCUGUUUUAAACACUUAUUUAUCUUUGUUAAGGGUCUGUUUUAAGGAGCUUAUUGAUGUAUAAGACUAUGUUUUAAAAAUGUUAUGGAUGU
rnacentral:lncRNA from 1 species